AUUGAACGCUGGCGGCAGGCUUAACACAUGCAAGUCGAGCGGGGAAGGGUAGCUUGCUACGUGACCUAGCGGCGGACGGGUGAGUAAUGCUUAGGAAUCUGCCUAUUAGUGGGGGACAACAUUCCGAAAGGAAUGCUAAUACCGCAUACGCCCUACGGGGGAAAGCAGGGGAUCUUCGGACCUUGCGCUAAUAGAUGAGCCUAAGUCAGAUUAGCUAGUUGGUGGGGUAAAGGCCUACCAAGGCGACGAUCUGUAGCGGGUCUGAGAGGAUGAUCCGCCACACUGGGGCUGAGACACGGCCCAGACUCCUACGGGAGGCAGCAGUGGGGAAUAUUGGACAAUGGGCGCAAGCCUGAUCCAGCCAUGCCGCGUGUGUGAAGAAGGCCUUUUGGUUGCAAAGCACUUUAAGCGAGGAGGAGGCUACUUGGAUUAAUACUCUAGGAUAGUGGACGUUACUCGCAGAAUAAGCACCGGCUAACUCUGUGCCAGCAGCCGCGGUAAUACAGAGGGUGCGAGCGUUAAUCGGAUUUACUGGGCGUAAAGCGUGCGUAGGCGGCUUUUUAAGUCGGAUGUGAAAUCCCUGAGCUUAACUUAGGAAUUGCAUUCGAUACUGGGAAGCUAGAGUAUGGGAGAGGAUGGUAGAAUUCCAGGUGUAGCGGUGAAAUGCGUAGAGAUCUGGAGGAAUACCGAUGGCGAAGGCAGCCAUCUGGCCUAAUACUGACGCUGAGGUACGAAAGCAUGGGGAGCAAACAGG
rnacentral:rRNA from 1 species